AACGCGAAGAACCUUACCUGGGCUCGAACGGCUUCAGAUCGGCAGUGGAAACAUUGCUUUCCCCGCAAGGGGCUGGAGUCGAGGUGCUGCAUGGCUGUCGUCAGCUCGUGUCGUGAGAUGUUGGGUUAAGUCCCGCAACGAGCGCAACCCUUGUCCUGUGUUGCUAACCCCUUAAAAGGUGCACUCUCAGGAGACCGCCAGCGAUAAGCUGGAGGAAGGUGGGGAUGACGUCAAGUCAUCAUGGCCUUUAUGUCCAGGGCUACACACGUGCUACAAUGGACGGUACAAAGCGCUGCUAACCCGCGAGGGGGAGCCAAUCGCAAAAAACCGUUCUCAGUUCGGAUUGCAGGCUGCAACUCGCCUGCAUGAAGCUGGAAUCGCUAGUAAUGGCGUAUCAGAACGACGCCGUGAAUACGUUCCCGGGCCUUGUACACACCGAGACGAC
rnacentral:rRNA from 1 species